CGGAAAGGCCCCUUCGGGGGUACUCGAGUGGCGAACGGGUGAGUAACACGUGGGUAAUCUGCCCUGCACUUCGGGAUAAGCCUGGGAAACUGGGUCUAAUACCGAAUAGGACCACUUAGCGCAUGCUUUGUGGUGGAAAGCUUUUGCGGUGUGGGAUGGGCCCGCGGCCUAUCAGCUUGUUGGUGGGGUGAUGGCCUACCAAGGCGACGACGGGUAGCCGGCCUGAGAGGGUGUCCGGCCACACUGGGACUGAGAUACGGCCCAGACUCCUACGGGAGGCAGCAGAAGGG
rnacentral:rRNA from 1 species